UACCAAUUAACAGAGGAUUCUUCAAUGAAGGUACCUACAUAAGAUAGAAAGAAAUAUUAAAACUAAGAUAGACUGUUAAGAAUUCGUGCCCUACUGAUUUUCUUAUUUUCUCCUAACUUUUGCUUAUCGAUGGAACGUGUUGUCUGACGUGUUCCACUGAUGUGUUUCAAGGAAGCAGUAAACAGAAAGUAAAGAACACAAUAAUUUUUACGUGGAAAACACCCGACUCAAAAGGUGUAAAAAACCACGACCUGCACCUAUACAGGAUUUAACCCCAACUUCACUAAAAACCUCUGAGCCUCAACAACAGCUGAUUACAAAACUCUUGUAACCAACAAAUAGGAAUUAUAAACUCUAAUUCCUAUAACUCAACAACUAGGAAUUAUAAACUCCAAUCCCUAUAACUCAACAACUAGGAAUUAUAAACUCUAAUUCCUAACUACACACACCUCCCAAGGUAUGUGUUCCCAAAGUCUCUGAGUUUUCCCCAACUCGAAGACUAGCUCCUAGUUCAGUUUAUAACACACUGAAACUAAUAUUACAUGAAUAGCUCAAACACAAUGAACAACUUUAAAAAUCAACGCUAAAACUCUUAGCUGGAUUCUGUAAUGAGGAUCAGGUUCUUCAACGUGUUUUUUCAGUGAUUGAGUAGCACUUCGUGAAGUCAAUAUGUCGAUUGAGCUUUUCUGCUUUUGUAAGUGCGUGAAUUAUUCUGACUGUUGCAUCUUCUAUUUAAGCACAACUCUCCAAAGAGUCCUUCUUUAUUUCAAACUCCUAGUUUAAUUAGAACUCUCAUUGCAUAGAGUUCUACUUCAAGUGAGACUCCUUCUUUAAUUCCAACUCUUGUCUCCUAAGAGUUGUAGUAAAACUCCAACUCUUUUGAAUUCUUCAAUUUUCACAAUCUUUCUCCUUCCACACAUUGGACUCUUAAGGAUAUGCUUAGGAGUGAAACUCCUUCUUCACAUAGGACUCUUUUUUCAACUCAACUUGUUUUCCCUUAUCAUCAAGUGUUUGAAUCAAAUUCAACUUGUUUCAUUCAUAUUGUGAUUCAUCAAAACUUCAAGGUUCCAACAUAGACAAUGAACAAAAAUUAAGUUGAACUUAAAACUAGGUAUAAAUAAUACAUUUUGUAAGGUCAUUGUUGGACUCAACUGUGAAUCACCAAUUUUUGUGACCCUAACUUUGCAAUCAUUUAGUAGAGUAACUAAGAAGGGAUAUGCUAUGGAUCGAAUUCUAACUAUUAAGGUUUUAUGUAUGUCAUGUGAUUCACUGCUCCUGAUCAAUUUAUAAUCCAUGAAUCAGCUGAUAAAGAGGCACAAUUACAAGACAAAUUCAGUAGAAUAAUGACAUGCUAAGAUACCUACAAGGUUCACAAUUCUAUGACCACUGAUAAGGUCAUUUAUUGAUUAUACAAGAUCCUGAAAGUUGCCGUUUCCUUUCACAUGGACAUUUUCCAAUAAGGUCAAAGACGGUUGUAUUGUUCUAUAGUUAAGCUUUGUUGACACUUACUGCCAUGUUUGUUAUAUGUUCUAGUAUCUUUAUCGAGAAUGAUGUCAAUAUUUGUCAUUACAUUGACUGCUGCUAAUCCUACAUUUAUCCCUUUGGUAAAAUUAAAGUUAAGAGGAAAUUCAUUUAUCUUAUAGAACUUGGCUUUAAUGUGACUUGUCUUCUUACAAUAGUUACAAAACAAGCUUAUUUUGUUUGCGAAUUGAGCAGAACAGAAACUAGUGUUCCUAUAAGGACUUUUCCCCCAUUUCUGUAAGGUGUAUGAGUAGGUACAUAAUUUGUCCAAAAAGAUAUAAUGCUAUAACUCACACCAAUGUGUCUAUAACCUGAGCUUCCAGCACCAAUAGAGUAGGUAAUACUAGCAGACAAAGAGGUUGAUUUUAAAUGAAUCCAACCAAUAACUCUUCUCUUUGUUUUUUCUCCUGAACAAGGAUAGAGAAGGCUUGAGCCAUUGUAGAUAAGGGGUUCAUCAUCCUUAUGCAUCUUAUUUUUCACCGUAAAUUCACCCAAAUGUGUACUGGAUACUUUCAUCCAAAGCACUCAACUCCUUCUAUAAACGACUAGCAUUAGUGUAGUACCCUGUGAUGUCUAGGUUUCCUUGAGUGAAAUUGUUAAUUUCUUGGUAAGAAUAAUUUAGCUCCAUUAGUUUGGUCAUACCUAGCUUCUGGUUCAUCCCAAAGUUCCUUAACAUUAUCACAAAUUGUAAGUUAUCACUGAGGUCCUUAGAUAGAGUAUUCAGAGGCCAAGAAGUUACCAUAUCAUUGUAUCGCUCCCAUUGUGCAAAUUCAGGAGAAUCAAUAUCAAGUUCUUAAACUUCGUCAUUGAUGAAUCCAAUUUUUUCACUGAAAGCACUCCAUAAGACACCUUUCUUCGAUGAUUCUCCCCUCAUCUGUCGAAUUGAGUUAGAAUGAUCGAAGAUCUCGUAUUUUUGGAUAGAUGCAUGUACAAACACUAUUUGAAUUGGGGUCUCGUGUUCAGUGGGCGAAUUGGUAGUUCCAGGUGUAGUAUCCGCCAUUAUUGUGAUGCAGAGGAGCUAAAACGAGCUUUGAACAAGAAAAAGAAAUGAACGCAAUUGUGUGAAGAAAAAUGGAACCCGUCGGAGAAAAAUCAGUGAAAAUAAAACAAAUUGAUUGAGGAACGACGAAGAACCUUUACAACUAUGAUACCAUGUCAAAAUAAGGAAAUGGAGCUGAGAAUUUGAGGUAAAAUAUCAUGAAAGCUCACAUGGAAAAGAAGUUUCACUCCAUGAGAGAACAAUUGAAGGAAAAGACAUUUUGAAGAAAUAAAAAUUGUCAAUUCAUUCGUCUUGUUGUAGUACACACACACCAAUAACAGAAGAAAGAAGGAGAAGAAAUUUUUUACUCUAACCGACUAAGUGUAACGCCCCAAAAAUCCUGUCCCAAGACGUCACAUGGUGAUUAAGACCACAAAUGGUCCUAAGCUAAUUCUUCUACCGGUAUAAUUCAUAAGCG
rnacentral:lncRNA from 1 species